AUUGAACGCUGGCGGCAGGCCUAACACAUGCAAGUCGAGCGAGUGGCGGACGGGUGAGUAAUGUCUGGGAAACUGCCUGAUGGAGGGGGAUAACUACUGGAAACGGUAGCUAAUACCGCAUACCAUCAGAUGUGCCCAGAUGGGAUUAGCUUGUAGGUGGGGUAAAGGCUCACCUAGGCGACGAUCCCUAGCUGGUCUGAGAGGAUGACCAGCAAAACGGGAACGGAGACACGGUCCAGACUCCGACGGGAGGCAGCAGUGGGGAAUAUUGCACAAGGGGCGAAAGCCUGAUGCAGCCAUGCCGCGUGUUUGAAGAAGGCCUUCGGGUUGUAAAGCACUUUCAGCGGGGAGGCGUUACUCGCAGAAGAAGCACCGGCUAACUCCGUGCCAGCAGCCGCGGUAAUUC
rnacentral:rRNA from 1 species